AAAAUCCGAUAACCUUGGCAACAUCAAGCGAUUCAAGUCUCGACUGAUUGCAAGAGCUAUAUUCGGCGUUACGGGAUUAAUUAUUUUGAGAUUUUUUCACCAGUAGCAAAAUACUCGUCAAUCCGACUAGUGAUGGACGUGUCAACAGCUUACCUCAACAGCGAAUCCAAUGAACACAUGUAUAUGAAUUAAGCUUUUAAGAUAUAUUUUGUUAAGAACAAUUUAUUAAGGUUAGCUCGAAGGCUUGAUUAGAAAUAAAAUUUACAAUGUUGAAAUAAUCUAAAUAAAUCUAAGUCGACGCUGCA